rnacentral:rRNA from 1 species
GAUAAACGCUAGCGGCAGGCUUAACACAUGCAAGUCGAGGGGCAGCAUAGAUUGUAGCAAUACAAUUGGUGGCGACCGGCGCACGGGUGCGUAACGCGUAUGCAACCUACCCGUCACAGGGGGAUAAUCCGGAGAAAUCUGGUCUAAUACCCCAUAACAUAUGGAUCGGCAUCGGUUCAUGUUGAAAUUUUCGGAGGUGCAGGAUGGGCAUGCGUAGCAUUAGCUUGUUGGUGAGGUAACGGCUCACCAAGGCGACGAUGCUUAGGGGGACUGAGAGGUUUUCCCCCCACACUGGUACUGAGACACGGACCAGACUCCUACGGGAGGCAGCAGUGAGGAAUAUUGGUCAAUGGGCGCAAGCCUGAACCAGCCAUGCCGCGUGCAGGAUGACGGCUCUAUGAGUUGUAAACUGCUUUUGUACGAGGGUAAAGUGGGUUACGUGUAACCUUUUGAAAGUAUCGUACGAAUAAGGAUCGGCUAACUCCGUGCCAGCCGCCGCGGUAA